rnacentral:rRNA from 1 species
CCUACGGGUGGCAGCAGUGAGGAAUAUUGGUCAAUGGCCGGAAGCCUGAACCAGCCAAGCCGCGUGAAGGACGAAGGUGCCAAGCAUUGUAAACUUCUUUUGUCAAGGGACAAAAUCAGGCUCGAGAGCCUGACCGAGGGUACUUGAAGAAAAAGCAUCGGCUAACCACGUGCCAGCCGCCGCGGUAAUACGGAGGAUGCGAGCGUUAUCCGGAUUUAUUGGGUUUAAAGGGUGCGUAGGCGGACUGUUAAGUCAGCGGUAAAAGCCCGGGGCUCAACCCCGGCGAGCCGUUGAAACUGGCUGUCUUGAGAUGUCGAGAGGGAUGCGGAAUGCGUGGGGUAGCGGUGAAAUGCUUAGAUAUUGCGCAGAACUCCGAUUGCGAAGGCAGCAUACCGGCGGCGAACUGACGCUGAGGCACGAAAGCGUGGGUAUCGAACAGGAUUAGAUACCCGGGUAGUC